ACAUAUGUCUGCAUCCCUGUCAUUUCAGAUUUAAACACUUCACUGGAAGGUAAGAUGCAUAUUAUCUUCAGUGCUGAGCUUGAUCCAACUAUUUUAGGUACAUAAAAGAAAUCUGAAUAUUUCUAAUAACUUAGAAGGUGAUUUCACUUUCAAACAAAACUAUUGAAUCUAUGUGUGUCUAAAAAGAUUCAUUCUCAAGUGAGUCUUGCUAUCGCCCUAGAUGCAUUCCUCAUCAUAUUUUGGCCUAUAUGCUUCCUAUUUUGAAUCUUCCCUAUGAUGCGAAAAAACGUGAAUAGAAUCAUGGAUAAAUGAUAUCAGUUGGAAGUAAUAUGAAUAUGUAUUGUGGUGCUUGUGUGUUUAUGCUCUUGGCCAUGAUAUUUUUCUUGGAAAUUAGUGACGAUGUAUCUCUAAUUACACGAGUUGAAUGAAAUAAGAUGUUAAUGGAUAGCUUCUGAAUUCUUUAUUCAUUUGUGUCUUCAAAGUAACAAAUAAAUGGAUAUAGGUGAAUCCUGCAGUUUUUCCAUUCACACAGUCCAGCAUGCAAAUAAAAGCAGUAUGAAUCUGUUCAAUUAAUUAAUUUUCCAUAUAUAAGUAGAACUACCACUUUGGAGUAAUAAUAUUUUGAAACUUGAAUAUAGCUCUGUACAGAUUUUCACUUUACGUGCUGGAAGCAUUCAACUGUUCAUCUAAACCUGAAUUUAUGCUCUGUAGUGUCUCUCCUAUUAUAGCAUCUAUGCUGAUACCAAAGGAUCGAUGAUAGGCUCGCAGUCAAUUUUCAAAAUCACUGUACUGUUUGAAGAGUUUAAAAUGCAAUGUACUCCACUCCUAACUGAAACUCUUGUUUAAGUUCACUGAAGGAUGUUAGAACUCUUGUUUAAGGAUGGCUUUAUGUGCAUUACCCGAGUCAUAAUUUUGCAAAAUUAGUUUUCUGAAUUUGCCUGAACCCUACCAAGGACUGAAGGAUGUUAGAACUCUUGUUUAAGGAUGGCUUUAUGUACAGUACCCGAGUCAUAAUUUUGCAAAAUUAGUUUUCUGAAUUUGUCUGAACCCUACCAAUUUUGUAGCAACCCUGUUAAAGAUAAAUGCUAUAGUCAACUAACUUUUAUCCAUGCAAUUUUUAAUAAAGACAAUCAAAAGAAUAACCAGGGAAAAGAUACUGAAAAUGUUUGCAUCAUGUGGUAAAUUUGUGUAUUAUUACCAUGAUCAUGUUUUGGCGAAUACUCGAGGUAGACUUUAUACUCCUUUUCAUGGAACUCAUUUUCCCUGGAACUGAUUUUCGUCUGGCUGCUAUUUUAGAACCAUCUGUCUACCUGGUGGCUUCCUCAAAAUGAUACGGCCAUUGCCGCACCAAAUUAUCCAUGUGCAUGUCUACGUGACGUACAUCCAGUUUAAUCCUGUCAAUGAGAAGUGGGUUGAUGUGUUGUCCAAAUUGCAUGUCGAUGAUGAGUGGGCAGAGGAGUAACACAUGAUGAAAAUUCCAAUGGAUAACAGAAGAUACAAGCAUCAGGGGCCGUGAAGCCCAUGAGGCGUGAGCGGUUUGGGACGUCGACGGCAGCGAUGACGCCCGGGCGGCCGGUGUGGCAGAGGAGGAUACUGAUGGGGAUGCGGUGUGAGCUGCCGCGGUUCAGCGGGCUCAUACUGUACGAUGAGCAAGGCCGACGCCUCCAUCUCGGCACUCUGGGCAGAAGAAACCAUCUCCAGAGUACUACCAAGACAAGGAAGACUACGACAACUACGACGACAUUGAAGAGUGAGACCUCGUGGACUACAUCAACUGCCUGUGGCUGAGAUGGAGUCACUUCGCGUUUUAUUUAUCCGCUGUGCUUUCUGAUUGUAAUGAAUGUCACACUAUGUGGCUAUUCAAACUUUGUAUUUAA